rnacentral:rRNA from 1 species
CGUAGGUGGCAAGCGUUGUCCGGAUUUAUUGGGCGUAAAGCGCGCGCAGGUGGUCCGUUAAGUCCUGUGUGAGAUCUCCCGGCUCACCCGGGAGGGGGCGCGGGAUACUGGGGGACUGGAGGCAGGCAGAGGCCGGUGGAAUUCCCGGUGUAGUGGUGAAAUGCGUAGAGAUCGGGAGGAACACCAGUGGCGAAAGCGGCCGGCUGGGCCUGUUCUGACGCUGAGGCGCGAAAGCGUGGGGAGCGAACCGGAUUAGAUACCCGGGUAGUCCACGCCGUAAACGAUGGCCACUAGGUGUGGGGGGUAUCGACCCCCUCCGCGCCGUAGCUAACGCGUUAAGUGGCCCGCCUGGGGAGUACGGCCGCAAGGCUA